rnacentral:ncRNA from 1 species
AUAAUUAUAUAGUAUAUAAUACUUGAAUAUAAUAACACUUUAUGCAUAAAAAUUGAUAUUAAAUUGCAGAAGCUUAAUUUUUAAAAUUUACAUAAUAAAGAUUAUUAUUAAUUUCCGGCAAGUCUGGUGCCAGCAGCCGCGGUAAUACAGGCGGUGGAAAGGUAUUUCAUUGAGAAUGAUAUAUAUAUAUAAUAUUAUAAAUAAUUAUAAUAAGGUGAAAUUUAUAUAGUAGUUAGUAUUAUAGUUUCAUGUAAAUAGAUUAACAAGACCAGGAUUAGAUACCCUGUUAUAACUGUGAAGAUAGUUAGUAUAAAAUUUAUUAUAAAGUUAAGUAUAAUGGCGGUGUAUUAAUCUAUUUAGAGGAAUUUAUUCUAUGAUCGAUAAGACACGUAUAUCUCACUUAUUUUUGUUAUGACAGUUUGUAUAUCGCUAUCAUAUAAUUAUAUAAAUUUAUGAUGAUUUUGAUUUAGAUUAUAAAUUAUGUUAGGUCAAGAUGCAGCAUAAGAAUAAGAAUGAAAUAAAUUACAUUAAUUUAUAUUGGCUUGGUUGAAAUUAUGAUUAGGAUUUAAUAGUAAAGUAGAAUUAUUAUGUCUAUUUGAAUAUAGUUUUAAUGCGUGUACAUAUUGCCCGUCACUCUCAUUUUGAGAAAAGUCGUAACAUAGUAAGACUACCGGAAGGUGGUUUUA